UCAGACGUGAGCUUUUCCGAUGAAAAACACCCUAGCAUUCACCCUGGUAACCGUCUAGCUACAGAUCAGAACAUAUUAGUAACUG